rnacentral:rRNA from 1 species
AGAGUAUGGGAGGGGGAGAUGGAAUUAGUGGUGUAGGGGUAAAAUCCGUAGAUAUCACUAGGAAUACCCAAAGCGAAGGCGAUCUCCUGGAACAAUACUGACGCUAAGGCGUGAAAGCGUGGGGAGCAAACGGGAUUAGAUACCCCGGUAGUCCACGCCCUAAACGAUGUUCACUAGUCGUCGGAAUGCUUGUCAUUUCGGUGAUGCACUUAACAGGUUAAGUGAACCGCCUGGGGAGUACGGUCGCAAGAUUAAAACUCAAAGGAAUAGACGGGGACCCGCACAAGUGGUGGAGCAUGUGGUUUAAUUCGAAGAUACGCGAAGAACCUUACCUAGCCUUGACAUUGAAGAAACACACUAGAGAUAGAGUGGUGCCCUUCGGGGAAUCUGAAAACAGGUGCUGCACGGCUGUCGUCAGCUCGUGUCGUGAGAUG